UCCGUAGGUGAACCUGCGGAGGGAUCAUUAUCGAGUUACAGAACUCCCAAACCUUUGUGAACAUACCAUCGUUGCUUCGGCGGGACUCGCCCCGGGCGCACGGCCGGCCUCCGGGCUGCCGCCGCGCCCCGGAACCAGGCGCCCGCCGGGGGACCCAAACUCUUGUCUUUGCAGUGGGAUACUCUGAGUGGCACACAAAUAAGCAAUCAAAACUUUCAGCAACGGAUCUCUUGGCUCUGGCAUCGAUGAAGAACGCAGCGAAAUGCGAUAAGUAAUGUGAAUUGCAGAAUUCAGUGAAUCAUCGAAUCUUUGAACGCACAUUGCGCCCGCCAGCACUCUGGCGGGCAUGCCUGUCCGAGCGUCAUUUCAACCCUCAGGACCCCUUCGGGGGACCUGGCGUUGGGGAUCGGCCCGCCCCGCGCGGGCCGGCCCCGAAUGUCAGUGGCGGCCCCACCGCGAGCUCCCCUGCGCAGUAGCGAUACCUUGCAGCCGGAGGGCGGUGCGGCCACGCCGUAAAACACCCCACUUCUUCCAAAGGUUGACCUCGGAUCAGGUAGGAAUACCCGCUGAACUUAAGCAUAUCAAUAAGCGGAGGAA
rnacentral:rRNA from 1 species